UACGAAGGGGGCUAGCGUUGCUCGGAAUCACUGGGCGUAAAGCGCACGUAGGCCUUUGCUAAGUCAGGGGUGAAAUCCUGGAGCUCAACUCCAGAACUGCCUUUGAUACUGGCGACUCGAGUCCGGGAGAGGUGAGUGGAACUGCGAGUGUAGAGGUGAAAUUCGUAGAUAUUCGCAAGAACACCAGUGGCGAAGGCGGCUCACUGGCCCGGUACUGACGCUGAGGUGCGAAAGCGUGGGGAGCAAACAGG
rnacentral:rRNA from 1 species